CAUUCCAUUCGUUGCAUCCGUUCGAUUCCUACCUGCGUACAGUUGACCUUCCGGCGAGCCCCGAGACGUUUUCGCGUUUGUUCGUCACGGGGUACACGUUCACGAGAGCGUGCACGGUAUCCCGUGGAUCGGAGUCCGACAAUCACGAAGCCGAACGUACCGGCUCGCCAGGCUACAGUACUUACACGCGGUCCGCCGGCACACAUCGACACGGGGAGGCGUGCGUACAGCCGCCGACGCACGGACACAUGCACGCCGGCGGGCGUGCACACAGCCGCAGGCACGUAGACGGGCUCUACGUACACAAAGAGAGAACCGAGCCACGCAACAUGGCAACCGUGGCAGGACGUAGACGAUGGUUAUACGUAGAAGUUCCAGUGGCAGGGGGUCAGUGUAAAACGGCCUUCUGUCCGCAACGUGUCGAACGUCGUUCGGUAUAACCGUGCUGCUUUUGCGCCGGUGACACCUGGGGAUCCUGCGGAGACACGCAGCGCACCUGCACACGCGGACGAGAACGCCGAGCGAGGAGAGGAGGAUCGAUUCUACGGCGAGUUCUCUCGCGACCGGAGCCAUCGACGAUCAAUCGCCGGCGAGCCGCUGGAAAUCGACCCAAAGGCCGUCGUGUCCGUUAAUGGCCGCCAGGGUCAUCAGCUAGAGGCCGUUUAGCGAAGUUUCGAGCUGCCAGCGCGAUAACGCACAGCCCGUACCCGAUGAGUGUUAGAUCGGCGGCCGGCCACAUGGUGAAGCAGAGGAGGUUCAUCGGGAACACCAACAACAAGAUGAUCAACAUACGAGAAUAUUUAUAGACGGUUUUUAGGCGCGAACAGCACAAUAGGCCUGAACAGGAUCAAACAGUGAACUCGGUUUUAUCUGCAUGUCGGUGGACGACGGAGGCAGCAGCCAGUAUUGCUCACAGACGAACGAACGAUCGGCAAAGGGAAACGAUCGACGGUGUCCACGUUUCGUCGCCAGCCACUGAUCUCUCACGCCGACCGGAAGAAGUUCUCGACGAUCCUCGCGGAUAGAUCGGCGCGUCGCUACACGCGGCCGCCCGAUAUGCUCGGACUGCCACCUGGCUUCCUGUUUUACGUAACACGCCAGGGAUGCUUCAUUCUCGCGGACAGAUCCAAUAUAACGAGAGUUCUCACGACGACAGGGUUUAGACAGCCAUUAGCGGAAGUGUGUUGUUACGCCGGCAGGCGAGAAAGACAAGGCCGCCCCGCGCGGGAGAUAUGAAUUGCAACGGGCCGCGCAUCGGUUAAUCGGAAUCGGUGCACCGCGAUCGUUCGCGUAUCGGCCGUCAACGAGAGACCGUAUUCCGUUGAACAGGUUCUUUCUUUUCUAGGUUUUCAGCGUUCGCAGUAAUCGCGAAAGAGAUGUGGGAUAAGCCAAAGUAAACCAGUGAUAUUUUUUACACAGUAUUUUGCUUGAAUAAUCGAGGAGAUUAAACGAGAAGCGAGAUAGAGGGAAGCGAGUUUCGAUGAGUUGUAGUGAGAUCAGUUUAUAAAACGAGGAAAUAAACGGAU